rnacentral:lncRNA from 1 species
CAAUCUUUUUUUGUAAUCAUCUCUUUUAUAUAUAAUUUUAGUUUUGUCUUGACAGUAAAGAUGAUUUUAUUGUGGCAGGACUAACUCAUGCUUCCAGCUCGAGACGGCUCAACAAGGACUGGUGGGGUACUACUGUUAGGAUUUUUGACUCAACACUUAACACCUAACAACAGAACAUUCCAAUGAGACUUCCUUGCUGCUUUAAUAGGAAUUUUAAAAGCAUGUUGAAAUUAACCAUCCCUAACAUUUGAAGAAUGUUGUCAUUGUGUUUGUGAGGGAGGGCCGGAAGGCUGCAGGAGGGGCUGCCAGAGCCACCCACUGGAGUGUGGACUUGUGGUGCCUUUUCUGGGCCUCCCCAUGGACCAAUUGGCACAUACUUCCUACCCUACGAGGUCCAUAAACGCAACCCCCACCCCGCUCCCCAGCUCAGCCAGAGCAGAUCAGAGGAUGGGAUAAUAAGAUAAUAGUAAACUCCAUCUCAAAAUAAAUAAAUAUAAAUAAAUAAAUUAAUUGGUGAAUGAGAAUUUACUUAGAGUCCUCUGCAUGAGUUUCUCCCCAAUCUGCAAGUCUAAUGGGGUGACUACCUCUGACUACUUAUGUUGGAUUUCACUGUAUAUGUUUAUAUAUAUAAAAUAUUGAGAUAAAGGCAGUGCAUUUUGAUUGAUAGGUGUUAUUAGUCUGCUAGGUUUGCUGAAACAAAGUACCAUAAAGAGGUUGCACCCAAGAAUCUUCCAGAAUCCUACUGGUGCUAACUCUCCAUAGGUUGGUUAUUGUCAUUCUGUCCCCCCAAAAUUCAUGUUGAUAUCCUAACCCCAAGAAGCUUAGAAUGUCAGCUUAUUUGGAUAUAAGGUUGUUGCAGAUGUAAUUAGUAAAAAAAAAAAAAAAAAAAAAAAAAAAAAAAAACCUCCAUAGGCUGGUUAUUGUCAUUAUGUCCCCUCAAAAUUCAUGUCGACAUCCACAGAUGCACACAAAGGGAGAAUGCUGUGUGAAGACUGGAGUUUGGUGCCACAAGACAAGGAACUACCAGAAGCUGGGAGAGAAGCCUGGAACAGAUGAUUCCUUAGUGCCUUCAGUGGGAGCAUGGCCCUGCAGACACCUUCAUCUUUGACUUCUAGCCUCCAGACCUGUCAGACAAUACAUUUCUGUUGUUUGAGCCGCGUCUGUGUCCACAUAUUCCCAUUUUAUCAGAACACCAGUCAUAUUGAAUUUAAGGGCCCACCCUACUCCAGCAUGACCACAUCAUAACUAAUUACAUCUGCAACAACCUUAUNNNNNNNNNNNNNNNNNNNNNNNNNNNNNNNNNNNNNNNNNNNNNNNNNNNNNNNNNNNNNNNNNNNNNNNNNNNNNNNNNNNNNNNNUCCUGCCUCAGCCUUCCAAGUAGCUGGGAUUACAGCUGCACACCACCAUGCCAGGCUAAUUUUUAUAUUUUUAGUAGAGAUGGGGUUUCACCAUGUUGGCCAGGCUGGUCUUGAAUUUCUGACCUCAAGUGAUCUGCCCGCCUUGGCCUCCCAAAGUACUGGGAUUACAAGCAUGAGGCACCGCGUCCAGCCUCCUCAUGCCUUUCUCCCAACCCAGUGACCCCUCUCCUCCUCUCUGUCUCUCUGAAUCUCCCCAUCAUCCCAGCUCCAGCUCACCUUAUCAUCAUUAGGAAAUCUUUGUUCUCACUGGCAGGGACCUUGCCCAACUCUGCACUUGCAAUCUUCACCACCAACCUCUAGUAAUUUGGUUCAUUCUGUCUCCUUAUUUUUUUUUUAGCUGAUAUUUAAAGCAUAACCACCAUAUGUUAUCUAUCAUGCCAUGCAUUUACUAGGUUCCUGGCAUUUAUAAAUUGAGCACUUUCUGGUUUUAUUAUGAAAAGGAACUCCGAUACUUAGGCACAUGAAACUUUUCCGCCUUCAGAUUAAUCACCUUAAUUAAUCUUGAGUGGAUAUGUAGGCCAGGCAGGGUGGCUCACGCCUGUAAUCCCAGCACUUUAGGAGGGUGAGACGGGUGGAUCAUGAGGUCAGGGGUUUGAGACUAGCCUGGCCAAUAUGGUGACACUCUGUACAAAAAUUAGCCGGACGUGGUGGCGUGUGGCUGUAGUCCCAGCUACUCAGGAGACUGAGGCAGAAGAAUCAGUUGAACCCAGGAGGUGGAGGUUGAAGUAAGUCGAGAUCGCGCCACUGUACUCCAGCCUGGUGACAGAGUGAGACUCUGUCUCAAAAAAAAAAAAAAAAAGUGGAUGUGUGAACGUGUUGGGGUGGAGUUGAGCAGUGAGGUAGCAAUGAGUCUGUUAAUUAUUGAGUACUCAGCUGACUAUACAUUGUCCAAAAAGCAAACCAGCCGCCAUUUUCCACUUUGAUAACAUAAGCAAAUUGCUGUGAAUGUAUAUUCAAUCAUGUAUUUGGGAAUUUGAGAGUUUCCAGGGACAUCAGACUCUAUUGGGCCUGUCUCUGUGACAAGGUUAUGUGUGAAGGCAAGAACCUUUUCUUUUACUUCUUAAAGCCCAGCAUAAUUCUGGGGACAGAGGCAUGCUUAUUAAUGCAUUACAUUAGCACUAGUGAAGCCAGAGAUUUCCUUAAUGUAAAUAAAGUAAAUAAAGAAAAAUGUGGCCAGGCGCAGUGGCUCACACCUGAAAUCCCAGCACUUUGGGAGUCUCAGGCAGGCAGAUCACUGGAGGUCAGGAGUUCGAGAUCAGC